ensembl:lncRNA
UUGUUUAGGUGCAGAAAAGCAAACCUGGAAAUCAAGCAAAUUAAAAAAAUAAAAUACUGUACAUUGUUACGUUAUCUUUGCAGACUGUGAUGCUAACGUUAGCUUCAGAACGCAGUUACAGUAAUUGAUCGAUGUGCCUGAGUAAACAAUCAAAAACGCCGCUAAGGAGUAUUUGGCAGAAAAGUUUAAUUUCAACACAAAAAGUUUUUAUGUGGAACAAGACAAAAAACACUCACCUUUCUUGAUAGUCUCGGCUCACGUACAAGCCUGCUACGUGUGUCGUCGCAUUUUGAUGACGUCAGAACGGCAAGCUAAAGCGCUGCAGACAUGAAUAUUUGUGUAGAAAACGUUCUGAUAAGGGCUCUAUAAUGUUAUACACACAGGAAAUUACAAAUGCUCAGGAAAGGCUGCAGGUGGGUUAUACAUUUAAUGACAAAAAAGUUGUUAUCAAUAUACUGUCACAGUAGACCUGAUUAUAAAUCUUUUAACUUUCUGAUUAUCUUUCAAAACAAUUUGUGUUUCCUCCUGUGUCCUGAUUGUGUCUCCAACUCCCACAGGGCUAUUUGCUAUAAGUUGAGUGUCUCCUGCAGGGGGUCACUCGUGGUAAAAGGUCAUGCAGGUGGGGAUUUGUCAGAUGGCUGUCCACCCCUUGCUGGGCCAAGGGGUUUCCCUGUUGCCUGUCGGAGCCCAUCAGGAAAGAGGGAAGAGGAAAUGGAGUCUGAGGUUGACAUGUACCAUGCUGUCUUAGCCCCACCCCUGGCUGUCAUGCCAGCAGUCCUGGGAACAAACCUGAGACUGACUGUGUAUCAGUGUAUCACCCCUCUUCAUCUAUCUCACCUCGGGCCCGACCUCUCUCCACUCCCAUGAGAGGGAGCAACAGAUCAAAAAAGUGGAGGAAGAAGUGAAAGAGAGUAGUGUGUCUGUGUCCCAGAGGAUUGGUGUAUGUCCAUGUGGAUCAGGGAGUGAAAAUGUGACAGCAGCAGAGGCAGACAGUGUGUGUGUGUGUGUGUGUGUGUGUGUGUGUGUGUGUGUGUGUGUGUGUGUGUGUGUGUGUGUGUGUGUGUGUGUGUGUGUGUGUGUGUGUGUGUGUGUGUGUUUGCCUGUGUGGCCCUUGUCAAACAGAGGUGUCAUAUGUGUGAAGAUCACAGUUUCAAGCUAGUGGCAUCCAGGGAUGAUGCUGUAAAUCUUUGUGUUGCCGGACACAUCCAUGCUGUGAUCUGUUGCACUGUAGUGUACAUGUGCAAGCAUGUCUUUGGGACAUUUGAUGGAGAUUAAUGUGACUGCUGGUGGCUGAAAGUGAAAAUGUGAUGAAGUGUGUCCCCUUGGGAAAACCAUGGAGUCAGCUUGGGCUACAAAACUGAGGCUUCUGAGAACCUUCAUGGGCUCCUUUUCAUGUUAGAAUAGCAUCACUAUUGUUUUUACCUGGGACACAACAAUGUGUUUCAGCAUGCUCCUUCAUGCAAAAACAACUAUUCACAGAAAAAAAAAGUGUAAUGUUACUUUGAAGUCCAUAAAAAAUAAAAUAUAUUAUUCCAAAGUAGCUGGAUCUUUAUCAAUCUGCACAUUUCCAAAUGUAUGAUGCUAAAAAUUAUUUCCAAUGAUAAAUCAUGUGCAUUUCUUUAAAAAAAAAAAAUCAAAUUAUUGUUGAUGUUGUUGUUUCCUCACAUUCGGCACAUGGAUUGGGAGUUAAUUCUUGCAUACUGCAUUAAGAAAAACAGGCCAAGUCCUUUGAUUUUCAGAUUUUUGCUAUUCCAAUCAUGUUUAAUACAAGUACGGUAAUAGAAAAACAGAAAACUUGAUUCCUGUGAAUGAAUAAUUGAAUAGAGACGUAUUACAGGAAUUUAGGCCACCGCCAUGGCGGCUUUACUUUUGUGCAGAUCAUAAACAAGACAAGAGUGGACACAGGCUUUGUCCACUGUUGUGUAUCAACCCUUUUUUGUACAUCUUCACCUCUAUCUUGACCUCUUUCAUGAUGUGUGAGUCACAAUGAAUUGUCAUAUAGACACACACAUGCACCCCCCCCCCCCCCACACACACACACACACACUGUGGGAAUGUGAAUAAGGCUAUAGUCACAUCAUUAUAUCCAUUUUAUAAGAAAAAACAUCCUUCGUGCGCCAACACCUGCACGCCUCACUGCACGUUAUCUUCACUCUUGAAUAUUCUCUCACUUAUUUACUGUAUCUUUCUGUCCCUGCUUUAUUCUGACAGCACAAAUGAAGCUUGACACAUGUUUAUGUCACAUUUCACAAUAUUUUUGUCAAACAUGUACACGCAACUGCUUAUGUAGCUCAUAUAAUUGCCUUUUUAUAGAAUUAAUGGUGACUUGAGGGAUAAAGAAUGUUUGUUACAAUAAUUACAACUGUCAGAUUUUUAAAACAUUGUUCUUUAGUUGCAGCAAAUAAAGUUAGAUAAUAUCUCUGAAAUACUUAAAUUACUUAAAUUUAAAACUUAUGUAGAAGACACAUCACAAUGAAGGAACUUUUCACAUAUUUCGAGAGGGAACAUGUGGCAUUUUGAAGAUUUCCAUAAUCACACUCUCAGAGUGUGUUAAUCUUAUCUGGAAAAGGUUGUGUGUUAGUGUGUUUGACAGCUCUCCGAAGCAACCUGCAAUGUUGACAUUAGUAGAGGAGGACAGAUCAGCUCUGCUUUGGGAGAAGGCAUAUGGUAAAGCUGCCCUCCAGCACAGCGUGGAGUUGUCUCCACGUGUGGCUGUGUGUAGUUGUAAUACAUGUAAACACACAUGUUCUAAUGUCUCACAUGGGCAAUACAAUAAAAAGGUGUAUUUUCAGGUGAGUUCAAUUGUGUUAGUGUGUAAAAGCACAAGGAUCCAACUACUUGAGCUGGGAAUAUUCCUUGCUGCCUGAGGCUCUCAGGCAUCGCUGCUGUCUCAAGUCCAAGUGCCAUCAUCGAUGUUCAGGAAGACUGAAGAUGCCAGCAAACACGUGUGUAAAGGAAAAAAAUCCAGCUCUAUUUGUGUCAGUAUACACUGGCGUCGUGUCAUCAGAGCUUCCGUAUUUGUGACAGUUUAUUAAAUAUGAACACAACAAAAUGACGGAGAAUAAAUUAAUUGUGAACACUGUUCACGCUCAUAAACCCAUAUUGUUAUGUAGUUGUGUAGCGUGGAAUGUCAGACAUUUCUCAUCUCAUCCUCGAGCAUAGUGGAGGCUGUUGUAUCUCGCUGAUGUUGCCAGAGCAAUGACUAUUAUACCCAUCUGUCACACCUCAGCCAAUACUGACACAUAUCCAUUAGAGGAUCUGUUUUCCCCUACAGGGUGAAUGUUUGAGGGAGGGCUGGGCUCAGAAAAUCUGGCCUGGGGUGAAGUGAGAACUGAUGAAAGCUGUUAUAUGGAAGCAAUUAGGAUGUGCAUCUUACUGCGAGUGUGCUGCAGUUGCUCAUAGGCUUCAUGCAGUGGUGUUGUGCUUGUGACUCAUGUCAAUUUAAAAAAUGUGCUUUUGGCAUCAGAGUCUUCUUUUCUUUGGUCAUUAAACGGUGUAAUUCAUCUGCUGUUAUUUAUUAUCUUUUCUUGCUUGAAUUUUGCACAAGUGCCAUCCAUCAAUCCCCAGCAGUCCUUUCGUGUUGUGCUCGUCUCUCUAUCUGUCUCCUGUUCAUACCCGCUAUACCCACAGGACUUAAUCCCAGUCUCCAUCAUUCCAUCCACCUCUCUGUCCUUGGGACUGGUGGCUGCAGGAGGAUGUAGCAGGUCUGUCACACGGUGCCAAAGCUGUCAAUCAGUGUGUACGUAUGCUUGCAUAUGUGUGUAUGUUAGUCUGGAGAGACGUUGUGAUGGCAGCUGUCACGCUGUCUCAGGAUCAUAUGCUGGCUGUCAGACAUCCUGUAAAAAACUGACAUCCAACCCUACAAAUACACACACACAGACACACAUACACACACACAGAAGCAUUGAUGUUAACUACUAACUUCAGCCUGACCCUUUCCCCCCUCUAUAAAUAAAUGAGAACAUCAGUUUACAGUGUUGUGAUUUUUUUGUCUGUCACUAAAGUGAAUCAAUCAGCACAGUUGUAUUAGACUUUCACACUUCUUUCAAGUCUGUUUCCUAAUAAACGUUUGUUUCUUUGGAGAAUGUGUGUGUGUGUGUGUGUGUGUGUGUGUGUGUGUGUGUGUGUGUGUGUGUGUGUGUGUGUGUGUGUGUGUGUGUGUGUGUGUGUGUGUGUGGCUUAUGAAACUUUUUGAAACUGCAGAUUUCUUCAGAAAAGAACAAGCCAUAUUUUCAGGCCCCAACCUUUUCCAAUAGUUCCAAACAUUCUCACACACCACUAGGCAAA